rnacentral:rRNA from 1 species
CCCCUAGACGUUCUGGGCUGCACGCGCGCUACAAUAAUACGCACAGCGAGUAUCACCGAGCUCGAAAGGGCAAGGUAAACAAUAGAAAAGGUACUGUAAUGGUUAUAGAUCCUUGUAAUUAUUGAUCUUCAACGAGGAAUUCCUAGUAAGUAUGUGUCAUCAUCACGCACUGAUUACGUCCCUGCCCUUUGUACACACCGCCCGUCGCUCCUACCGAUUGAGUGAGCCGAUGAAACUGCCGGAUGUGGACUAUUCAUAGUCUGCAGAAGAUAUUUGAAUCGUAUCGCUUAGAGGAAGGAGAAGUCGUAACA